rnacentral:rRNA from 1 species
UACGUAGGUGGCAAGCGUUGUCCGGAAUUAUUGGGCGUAAAGCGCGCGCAGGCGGUCCUUUAAGUCUGAUGUGAAAGCCCACGGCUCAACCGUGGAGGGUCAUUGGAAACUGGGGGACUUGAGUGCAGAAGAGGAGAGUGGAAUUCCACGUGUAGCGGUGAAAUGCGUAGAGAUGUGGAGGAACACCAGUGGCGAAGGCGACUCUCUGGUCUGUAACUGACGUGAGGCGCGAAAAG